rnacentral:tRNA from 1 species
GGGAAUGUGGCUUAGUGGUAGAGUGCUUGCCUAGCAUGCAUGAAGCAAGCCCUGGGUUCCAUUCCUC